ACAGGGCAGAAGAAUUACCCAUACAGCAGGAGGAAUGUAACCAGCAUAAAGCAACAAUCCCCAUGCAGACCAGUGUGGGAACACAAGGAAAAUGGCAAUUUGUGUCACGUAAAUAACAUUCUAAUUAUUCUGGGAACACUGGGAUCUUGACUGAUAUCAAAGGUUUUCAGACACCUUUGCAGAAGAGUACAGUCUCCUGUGUUUUGGCUUUUCUCACAGUUGCAAAUCUUACCCUGUAAACUUGUUAUCCAGCUGUAUAUCAGGAGAGAAGAAAUUCAGAUGUUUAUAGAAAUGAACAAUGUGGCUGCACAACCAUUCCAGUGAUCACCAGAUCACUGGUGAAAGACAACCAUGGAAUAUGCAGGAGGGAAACUAUUCUUUGGAGCAGGGUGGAUACAAUUUGGUGUAAGCAACUAUAGUAACUUUAGGCAAGAUGCAGAUCCAGAGUGAAAGUCAGAAAUGUGGAAAAUGCAAAGAAAAAUAGAAGGAAUACAGGAGAAAAUGAAGAAAAAAAAAAUAAAAAAGAGAAUAAAGGAAGAAGAAAGAAGAAUAAAAAAAAAAAAAAGGAAAAAAAAAAAACAAAAAUGAAGAAGAGGAGACAGAAAAAAAAAGACACUAAUGAUUCAGGAGCAUAGUUAAGCUAAAGUAAAUCAUAAUUUUAAAAUAA